AUUGAACGCUGGCGGCAGGCCUAACACAUGCAAGUCGAGCGAGCGGCGGACGGGUGAGUAAUGUCUGGGAAACUGCCUGAUGGAGGGGGAUAACUACUGGAAACGGUAGCUAAUACCGCAUACCAUCAGAUGUGCCCAGAUGGGCUUAGCUAGUAGGUGGGGUAACGGCUCACCUAGGCGACGAUCCCUAGCUGGUCUGAGAGGAUGACCAGCCACAAUGGGAAUGAGACAAGGUCCAGAAUCCUACGGGAGGCAGCAGGGGGGAAUAUUGCAAAAUGGGGGCAAGCCUGAUGGAGCCAUGGCGCGGGUGUGAAGAAGGCCUUCGGGUUGGAAAGCACUUUCAGCGGGGAGGCGUUACCCGCAGAAGAAGCACCGGCUAACUCCGUGCCAGCAGCCGCGGUAAUUC
rnacentral:rRNA from 1 species